GACAAAUUAGGUUGGAACUUAGGAAUUGAAUCGUUCUCAUGGAGUUUUGCCUUCUGCUACUCUCAUAGUUCGAUGGCGGAAUCAGAGAUUCAAGUUCUGGUAAGUUGAUUGCUUGGAAAAAGGGUGCAAUCUGUUCAUUCAGUUUUAUUGUUUAAAGAAAGGAAGCACUUAGUUUAAUAUGGAACUUUGAGAAUAAGUCAGAUGAGACUACAAGAGCUACUAGGGACGUGAAUGCGCAAAGAAACAACCCAACUAUAACAUGAACCUUUUUUAUUGGUACAUU
rnacentral:lncRNA from 1 species